GUCUACAGCUAUACAACCCUGAACACGCCCAAUCUCAUAUGAUCUCAGAAGCUAAGAGUGUCGGGGCUGGUUAGUAUUUGGAUGGGAGAAUUCAGCAGACCUGAUGCAGCAGAAG
rnacentral:rRNA from 1 species